rnacentral:rRNA from 1 species
CAAGACCUGCGCUUUUGGAGCGGCCGAUGCCUGAUUAGCUUGUUGGUAAGGUAAAAGCUUACCAAGGCUUCGAUCAGUAGCUGGUCUGAGAGGACGACCAGCCACACUGGGACUGAGACACGGCCCAGACUCCUACGGGAGGCAGCAGUGGGGAAUUUUGGACAAUGGGGGCAACCCUGAUCCAGCCAUGCCGCGUGAGUGAAGAAGGCCUUCGGGUUGUAAAGCUCUUUCAGCCAGAACGAAACGGUUACGGAUAACACCCGUGACUACUGACGGUACCGGAAGAAGAAGCACCGGCUAACUACGUGCCAGCAGCCGCGGUAAUACGUAGGGUGCGAGCGUUAAUCGGAAUUACUGGGCGUAAAGCGUGCGCAGGUGGUUUUGUAAGUCAGAUGUGAAAGCCCCGGGCUCAACCUGGGAACU